CAUUACAAGUAAGGCCACCGAACGCUGGAAACAGCGGUUAGGAGCUUACACCCACCCGUGUUUACAUACUAUUGUUGCUUUGGCGGGCCGUGGCCUCCACUGCGGGCUCUGCUCGUGUGUGCCCGCCAGAGGACCAAACUCUGAAUGUUAGUGAUGUCUGAGUACUAUCUAAUAGUUAAAACUUUCAACAACGGAUCUCUUGGUUCUGGCAUCGAUGAAGAACGCAGCGAAAUGCGAUAAGUAAUGUGAAUUGCAGAAUUCAGUGGAUCAUCGAAUCUUUGAACGCACAUUGCGCCCUGUGGUAUUCCGCAGGGCAUGCCUGUUCGAGCGUCAUUUAACCACUCACGCCUAGCGKGUAUUGGGGUACGCGGUCUCGCGGCCCUCAAAAUCAGUGGCGGCGCCGGUGGGCUCUAAGCGUAGUACAUACUCCCGCUAUAGAGUUCCCCGGUGCUCGCAGACCCCAAUGUUUUACAGGUUG
rnacentral:rRNA from 1 species